rnacentral:rRNA from 1 species
AUUGAACGCUGGCGGCAGGCUUAACACAUGCAAGUCGAGCGAGCGGCGGACGGGUGAGUAAUGUAUGGGAAACUGCCUGAUGGAGGGGGAUAAGUACUGGAAACGGUAGAUAAUACCACAUCACAUAAUCUGAGCCCAGAUGGGUUUAGCUAGGAGGUGGGGUAAUGGCUAACAUAGGCGACGCUCCCUAGCGAGUCUGAGAGGGUGACCAGCCACACUGGAAGUGAGAAACGGUCCAGACUCCUACGGGGGGCAGAAGUGGGGAAUAUUGCAAAAUGGGCGCAAGCCGGAGUCAGCCAUGCCGCGUGGGUGAAGAAGGCCUUCGGGGUGUAAAGCACUUUCAGAGAGUAGGCGUUACUCGCAGAAGAAGCAACGGCUAAGUCCGUGCCAGCAGCCGCGGUAAUAC